CAUGUCUCAGUACACGCCGUAUUAAGGUGAAACCGCGAAUGGCUCAUUAAAUCAGUUAUGGUUCCUUAGAUUGUACACACAUUUACUUGGAUAACUGUGGUAAUUCUAGAGCUAAUACAUGCAAACCAGAGUUCCAACCAGAGAUGGAAGGAACGCUUUUAUUAGAUCAAAACCAAUCGGUGGCSRGUKUCUUGKACAUUCGUUCAUCGYUUACYUUGGUGACUCUGAAUAACYUUGUGCUGAUCGCAUGGUCUCGUACCGGCGACGAAUCUUUCMAAUGUCUGCCUUAUCAACUUACGAUGKUAGGUUUUGCGCCUACCAUKGUUGUAACGGGUAACSGGGAWUCARGGUUCGAUUCCSGAGAGGGAGCCUGAGAAWCGGCUACCCACAUCCAAGGAWGGCAGCAGGCGCGCAAAUUACCCACUCCCCAGUACGGGGAGGUAGUGACGAAAAAUAACGAUACCGGGACUCAUCCGAGGCCCCGUAAUCGGAAUGAGUACACUUUAAAUCCUUUAACCGAGGAUCCAUUGGAGGGCAAGUCUGGUGCCAGCAGCCGCGGUAAUUCCAGCUCCAAUAGCGUAUAUUAAAGUUGUUGCGGUUAAAAAGCUCGUAGUUGAAUCUGUGUGCCACGCUGUCGGUUCACCGCUCGCGGUGUUUAACUGGCAUGAUUGUGGGACGUCCUACCGGUGGGCUUAGCUGUGUGCAAACAUGGCGGUCCAACUAAUAUCCUAUCGCGGUGCUCUUGAUUGAGUGUCGAGGUGGGCCGGUACGUUUACUUUGAACAAAUUAGAGUGCUUAAAGCAGGCUAUUUUUGCCUGAAUACUGUGUGCAUGGAAUAAUAGAAUAGGACCUUGGUUCUAUUUUGUUGGUUUUCGGAACUCCGAGGUAAUGAUUAAUAGGGACAGAUGGGGGCAUUCGUAUUGCGACGUUAGAGGUGAAAUUCUUGGAUCGUCGCAAGACGAACAGAAGCGAAAGCAUUUGCCAAAAAUGUUUUCAUUAAUCAAGAACGAAAGUUAGAGGUUCGAAGGCGAUCAGAUACCGCCCUAGUUCUAACCAUAAACGAUGCCAGCUAGCGAUCCGCCAAAGUUCCUCCGAUGACUUGGCGGGCAGCUUCCGGGAAACCAAAGCUUUUGGGUUCCGGGGGAAGUAUGGUUGCAAAGCUGAAACUUAAAGGAAUUGACGGAAGGGCACCACCAGGAGUGGAGCCUGCGGCUUAAUUUGACUCAACACGGGAAACCUCACCAGGCCCGGACACCGGAAGGAUUGACAGAUUGAUAGCUCUUUCUUGAUUCGGUGGGUGGUGGUGCAUGGCCGUUCU
rnacentral:rRNA from 1 species